rnacentral:rRNA from 1 species
GUAGGGAAUCUUGCGCAAUGGGGGAAACCCUGACGCAGCGACGCCGCGUGGAGGAUGACGUUCUUCGGAAUGUAAACUCCUUUUGAGAGGGAAGAAACGCCGAUUGGUCGGCCUGACGGUACCUCUUGAAUAAGCUCCGGCUAACUUCGUGCCAGCAGCCGCGGUAAUACGAGGGGAGCAAGUGUUGUUCGGAUUUACUGGGUGUAAAGGGAGCGCAGGCGGUCUAGUAAGUCAGGGGUGAAAUGUCCACGCUUAACGUGGUCACUGCCUUUGAAACUAUUAGACUUGAGUAUUGGAGAGGGUAAUGGAAUUCCAGGUGUAGCGGUGGAAUGCGUAGAUAUCUGGAAGAACACCAGUUGCGAAGGCGAUUACCUGGCCAAGUACUGACGCUCAUGCUCGAAAGCUGGGGGAGCAAACAGGAUUAGAAACCCUGGUAGUCC